UGUUUGGCUAAAUGCGCUCUGUGGCGUGCCCCCUGGUGACAGUACAGUACCGAGCCUCCUCAUAAACACUCCGAAAUGUGGCCCUUGCCUCGUAAUGUCCUUACGUCAGCUUCCAACACCGCCGCGUUUCCUCCGCCGCGGCCAGGGCUCGGCGGGCGCGGGGGGCUCGGGGCGUCCGGGCGGGUUUAUACCCCGAAGAGCGGGUGGUGUAUAAAGAGAGCGGUCCCAGGAGCGGCUCUGCCCCCGGGAUGGGGGCUGGCGGGAGGGGACAACAAGGGUCGUUAUCUGGGGUGAUGCUACCGGGGUGAUGCCAAACGUGUGCCCGCAAAAGCGAAGCGCAGGAGCCCUCCCUCUCCGAAGGACGAGCCACCGCGGGGCAGGGACGCUGGAAAGUAGCUGGAAAAUAAUUGUAAUAACUCAGCAAACUCCCAGCGUCCACUGCACUGCUGCGUUGUAGCCACAGGGACACGCGUGGAGAGGAGGCUCAGGAAGAGGCAGGAGCACAGGGCAGGAACCUGCCCUUGGGAAGCAGCCGGCAGUGCAGUGGGAAACAGUCGGUAACUCCACCCAGUCACUAGUUCUACUUGGUGGGCAUCAGGCAGCAUAACGUAGAGGGGAGAAGAGGACCAAGAAGAACAAGUAUGCACUUCCUGGUGGUGCAUGGGUGAGACCAGAGAUGCUCCUCACUCCAGAUCACUGCCCCUGAGCAAGCAGCUGAAGGUGCAGUGCAGUGAGUCCUGCCAGGAUGCUUAUCGCUGCUAUCGGAAGACCAGGAGUCACUGACCAGGUACUAGGGUUGAGAUGCAGCAAUUAGAACAACUAUUAGAAAAUAAUCAGUUGCAACCUCUGGAAAUCAGCACUUGGUUGCCAUAUUUGGGAGGAAAGUGGCAUGUUCUGGGGGGAGGGAAAUUCCAGGCUCUGCUCUGGUCAACAGCUUUCAGAAAAUGCUACUUAAAAGCGGCUUUUGGCCACAGUUCCUCAGGAGAUGUGGCUACUCAUCUCAUCCUGUGUCCACAGGAGACGUGGAGUCUCGUGCAAAAUGCUUUCUAUAAACAUUUGAACCAUUUGUAAGGGGUUUCAUAACUUGGAGGUUGGAGUCGCUUUGGGCUGGUUCUCACCCAGCGCACACUGUGCGCAGGAGCUGCCAUCUGUCUCCAUCCGUCACACAGCAGAGUCCGAGAGGGGCGUUCUCUAGUCUGAAACUUCAUAAACAAGUAAGAUGAAUAUAAAUGAAGCAGAAUUAAUUGUUAGACCAACAUGGCUCUGGCACAAAGCAAAAGGAUGUUUGCAUUGAUGAAGUUUGCUAGAAACAACACUUCUGAAACUGAAGCUGAAAGGAACGGCAAACCCCACUGCUGAGACUUCACCCCGAGACACAACCUCCACACACUGGCUGAAAAGGCAGAUGAAAACCAGGUGUCAUCUGCACACCUGCAGCCCAGCACCUGCAGCAGCAAGCCCUGCCUGAUCUGCGGGCCAGGCUUUCUGCUCUCAUCCUCUGCGGGAGGCUCUCGGCACACUUGGGUGCUGUAUCUCUGGGCUGGCACCCCAGGCAGCCACCUGGCUCCACCACCACCCUCCAACCAUGCAGCAUCCUGUCAGCUGGCCCUCUGCUCCUAUCCCAUUCCAUCCCGUUCUAUCCCAUCCCAUCCCCAUCCCAUCCCAUCCCCGCAGCGGCACUCACACAGCUCCUUGUUCUUCUCCCUCUCUUUUCCCUCGGUUCGGCUCUUUGCCCAUGUCCUUCACACUUUGCACUCAGCAGCUGCAUACUCCAUACAUGGAGCAGCAGAUGCUCCAUACACCUGAUAGCAGGUCCUAAAUGUGAUGUUUCAUUACAAAUACUGUGACGGAGCCGCUGUGAAUCAAGCUGAAUGUUGUCAGCACUUUAUGACAUUCCUGCCCAACUUUUACUUAAUAUUUCUGGUUUUAUUCUUCACUUGUGUUUUUGUAAAUUGCUGGAUUAGUCCCCAUCGGCACGUGUGAACAGUUGUGAUUUCAACCAGGAGACACCUCCAGUCAGUUAUCCCACAGAAUCCCACAAAAUACAUUGGUGAGCCCCCAGGUCUAACUGCCAAACUACACACAGACUGCAAUCCCAUGGUACUUUCAGAAAUAUACCUUUUCCUGCCCAAACCCCCGAAUCCUCAUGGCAUCAGCAUCCUGUACUUGGGCAUUAAAUAAAAAGGAACGAUACUUA